UAUGGCCACAUCAUUUUGAAACACCAGUUUGCAUAUGAUCACUGAAGUUAAGCAAUGUUGAGUCUGGUCAGUACCUAGAUGGGUGACCGCUUGGGGAUUCCAGAUGCUGUAAG